UACGUAGGUGGCAAGCGUUGUCCGGAUUUACUGGGCGUAAAGAGCGCGCAGGCGGUCGUACAAGUCGCGUGUGAAAGCCCCCGGCUCAACUGGGGAGGGUCACGCGAUACUGUUCGACUCGAAGGCAGGAGAGGGAAGCGGAAUUCCCGGUGUAGUGGUGAAAUGCGUAGAUAUCGGGAAGAACACCAGUGGCGAAGGCGGCUGCCUGGCCUGUAACUGACGCUGAGACGCGAAAGCGUGGGGAGCGAACCGG
rnacentral:rRNA from 1 species